AUUGAACGCUGGCGGCAUGCCUUACACAUGCAAGUCGAACGGCAGCACGGGAGCAAUCCUGGUGGCGAGUGGCGAACGGGUGAGUAAUGUAUCGGAACGUGCCCAGUCGUGGGGGAUAACGCAGCGAAAGCUGUGCUAAUACCGCAUACGAUCUAAGGAUGAAAGCGGGGGAUCGCAAGACCUCGCGCGAUUGGAGUGGCCGAUAUCAGAUUAGCUAGUUGGUGGGGUAAAGGCUCACCAAGGCGACGAUCUGUAGCUGGUCUGAGAGGACGACCAGCCACACUGGAACUGAGACACGGUCCAGACUCCUACGGGAGGCAGCAGUGGGGAAUUUUGGACAAUGGGCGCAAGCCUGAUCCAGCAAUGCCGCGUGCAGGAUGAAGGCCUUCGGGUUGUAAACUGCUUUUGUACGGAGCGAAAAGGUUCUCUCUAAUACAGGGGGCUCAUGACGGUACCGUAAGAAUAAGCACCGGCUAACUACGUGCCAGCCGCCGCCGUAACAC
rnacentral:rRNA from 1 species